rnacentral:tRNA from 1 species
GGGGUAUUCAUCUAGUCUGGCUCAGGAUGCGACACUUCCACUGUCGUCACGAGGGUUCGAAUCCUUCAUACCUCAC